UCCGGCUUAUCACCGGCAGUUUCUUUAGAGUGCUCAACUAAAUGGUAGCAACUAAAGACGAGGGUUGCGCUCGUUGCGGGACUUAACCCAACAUCUCACGACACGAGCUGACGACAGCCAUGCACCACCUGUGAAGGUGUCCCGAAGGAAAGCCAUAUUUCUAUGGCGGUCACCUACAUGUCAAGCCCAGGUAAGGUUCUUCGCGUUGCGUCGAAUUAAACCACAUGCUCCACCGCUUGUGCAGGCCCCCGUCAAUUUCUUUGAGUUUUAAUCUUGCGACCGUACUCCCCAGGCGGAAUGCUUAAAGCGUUAGCUGCGCCACCGAAACGCUAAGCGCCCCGACAGCUAGUCAUCAUCGUUUACGGCGUGGACUAC
rnacentral:misc_RNA from 1 species